rnacentral:rRNA from 1 species
AACGAACGCUGGCGGCAGGCCUAACACAUGCAAGUCGAACGCUCCGCAAGGGGAGUGGCGCACGGGUGAGUAACACGUGGGAACCUACCUUCUGGUACGGAACAACCAAGGGAAACUCUGGCUGAUACCGUAUACGACCUCCGGGUGAAAGAUUGAUCGCCGGAAGAGGGGCCCGCGUCCGAUUAGGUAGUUGGUGAGGUAACGGCUCACCAAGCCUGCGAUCGGUAGCUGGUCUGAGAGGANGACCAGCCACACUGGGACUGAGACACGGCCCAGACUCCUACGGGAGGCAGCAGUGGGGAAUAUUGGACAAUGGGCGCAAGCCUGAUCCAGCCAUGCCGCGUGAGUGAUGAAGGCCUCGGUUGUAAG